rnacentral:rRNA from 1 species
CCUACGGGAGGCAGCAGUGAGGAAUAUUGGUCAAUGGACGAGAGUCUGAACCAGCCAAGUAGCGUGAAGGAUGACUGCCCUAUGGGUUGUAAACUUCUUUUAUAAAGGAAUAAAACGAGGCACGUGUGCCUUUUUGCAUGUACUUUAUGAAUAAGGAUCGCCUAACUCCGUGCCAGCAGCCGCGGUAAUACGGAGGAUCCGAGCGUUAUCCGGAUUUAUUGGGUUUAAAGGGAGCGUAGAUGGGUUGUUAAGUCAGUUGUGAAAGUUUGCGGCUCAACCGUAAAAUUGCAAUUGAUACUGGCAGUCGUGAGUACAGUUGAGGUAGGCGGAAUGCGUGGUGUAGCGGUGAAAUGCUUAGAUAUCACGAAGAACCCCGAUUGCGAAGGCAGCUUACUAAACUGUGACUGACAUUGAUGCUCGAAAGUGUGGGUAUCAAACAGGAUUAGAUACCCGUGUAGUC